rnacentral:tRNA from 1 species
GAGGGUAUAGCUCAGUGGCAGAGCACAUGCUUAGCAUGCACGAGGUCAUGGGUUCUAUCCCCAGUACCUCCA